rnacentral:rRNA from 1 species
UACGUAGGGGGCAAGCGUUGUCCGGAAUCAUUGGGCGUAAAGAGCGUGUAGGCGGUCCGGUAAGUCGGCUGUGAAAGUCCAGGGCUCAACCCUGGGAUGCCGGUCGAUACUGCCGGACUAGAGUUCGGAAGAGGCGAGUGGAACUCCCGGUGUAGCGGUGAAAUGCGCAGAUAUCGGGAGGAACACCUAUGGCGAAGGCAGCUCGCUGGGACGUUACUGACGCUGAGACGCGAAAGCGUGGGGAGCAAACAGG